rnacentral:rRNA from 1 species
GAUGAACGCUGACAGAAUGCUUAACACAUGCAAGUCGAUGGGGAAGCGGUGCUUGCACCAUGGUAACCAUGGCGGACGGGUGAGUAACGCGUAAGGAACUUGCCUGCGGGACUGGGAUAACAGCAGGAAACUGCUGAUAAUACCGGAUAAGGUCAUUAAGCUGCAUAGCUUAGUGAUGAAAGGAGACGCCUGCGGAGAGCCUUGCGUCCUAUUAGCUAGUUGGAGGGGUAACGGCCCACCAAGGCGAAGAUAGGUAGCCGGCCUGAGAGGGUGGACGGCCACAAGGGGACUGAGAUACGGCCCUUACGCCUACGGGAGGCAGCAGUGGGGAAUAUUGGACGAUGGGGGCAACCCUGAUCCAGCAAUUCUGUGUGCACGAAGACGGUUUUCGGAUUGUAAAGUGCUUUCAGCAGGGAAGAAGGAAGUGACGGUACCUGCAGAAGAAGCGACGGCUAAAUACGUG